CUUUCACUCGUUGGGGUACACUCACCUAAAUCGUGUCAUCAUAGUUUGAGCAUCAAGUGCCAAAAUGAAGAUGUUUUAAGAAGAGAUGUAGUGGUUCAAGGCCCAAGUGCCUAAAUUGUGAACAGAGGCGAGCGAAGGGAAGUGACAGCCAAGACUGUAAGGCACUGCAGCUGUUGGUGACCUUACAUCCUUCCCUAUCGCCUUGGUUGAAGGGCUUCCUCCAGCUGGGCGUGGCGGUGCACAUGUGUAAUCCCAGAGCUGGGGAAGCUAGGGCAGAAGGACCUGAGGAAUGAAGUAAGUCCAGCACUCGGGAAGAUUGCCUUGAAUGGGGAGACCAGGGGCCAGUCUGUCCUUGUGUUUUACAGAAAAGCAUCAGGAAAGAAGCCUGUCACCUAGGCUUAACAAAAGAACAGUGAGAGCUGGAGGGAUGGCUCAGUGGUUAAGAGCACUGACUGCUCUUCCACAGGUUCUGAGUUCAAACCCCACAGCCAUCUGUAAUGAGAUCUGACGCCCUCUUCUGGUGUGUCAGAAGACAGCUACAGUGUAUUCAUAUAUAAUAAAUCUUUAAAAAAAAAAAGAGCAGUCACAUUUUGGGAUAGCUUCUGCUUUUUGUUUGUUUAAUAAAACCUUGCACAUACAAGAAGCCAUUCUUCAGGUCCUGGGUUCAGUCUAUGGACUUCUUAUUAUAUUCUGUUUCCUCCUCAUUCCAACCCUUGCUCUUCUACCUCACUCAUGUUUCUUCAUGGAAAAAACUCCAGCACUAAACCUUGUUUUCUAGCUGCUAUCUCAAACCUCCCCUUACCUGGGUCACAAAUAAGGUUUCCAGCAUUUAAAUUCAGGACAUGGUUUAAGUAAAGGUUAAGAAAGACGUCUACCAAACUAUAUAAUAGCUAUUAGCUGGAUUCUUUUCAAGAUGGGAGUUUCAGCUGCUUCUUCCAACUGGAGGGGCCCAGCAAGCUCCAACAUGUGAGACUCAUACUUCAUGGCUUCCCCAAAAUGUACACUAAUAAAAGAAAACGGGGACGAAAGUCCUGAAAAGGAACAGACUGGACUCUCCCAGCAUAGAUCCUGAAGUUAGUGAUGUGCUUACUGGCUCUGUGCAUGCCGACGAGCCCUGGCUUCUGUUUCAACUUGUCGAAGACUAGCAAAAGCUGUGUCAGGACAAGCUCUGGCGAGAUGGUGAAGAAAGCAUUUACAACUGCCAGGUUGCUGAGUGGACAAGAAGCCAGUGAGCUGGGAGAGCCAACAACUGAUUCAGCGCAUUAGCAAGCUGGUCUGCCUACUCAAGCAUUAGUCCAGCAAGCUCAAACUAGGUGACAGACCAAAGUAACUCACAGUUUAGUAACAUGUUUAGCCAUCGUUGGAGUCUUAAGAUGAGCCACAAAGCACGAUAUAAUUAUUUUGCCUUCUACCAA